UACGUAGGGGGCAAGCGUUGUCCGGAAUUAUUGGGCGUAAAGCGCGCGCAGGCGGUCAUUUAAGUCUGGUGUUUAAUCCUAGGGCUCAACCCUAGGUCGCACUGGAAACUGGGUGACUUGAGUACAGCAGAGGAAAGUGGAAUUCCACGUGUAGCGGUGAAAUGCGUAGAGAUGUGGAGGAACACCAGUGGCGAAGGCGACUUCCUGGCCUGUUCUUGACGCUGAGGCGCGAAAGCUAGGGUAGCAAACGGG
rnacentral:rRNA from 1 species